CGAUCACCUCGCUCUCGAAGCACACCGAGCAGUCGCGGCUGCCCUUCCGCCGCACGCCGGACGACGAGCAGGAGGAGCUGGACGAGGAGCUGGAGGAGGAGGAGGAGGAAGCCGACGAGUCGGAGGGCAGCCCCGGCAGAUCACUACACUGUACUGAACAUCCAUGUACUGACGGAGAAGAAAGAAAACAAGUUAUCUUCAGAGUAUAUAUUGUGUGCACUUAGAUAAAGCUACCUCCCACUAUUCUCCUUCAUUCUGAAUAGAAAACUCAGAGGAGUUUUGAGACCUACACCAUAUGAAGUCACCAGCGCACCAAGAAGAAACAGAACAUCCAGCAGAGAUACUGUUGCUCCAGGAUGGACUAUUUGUUUCUAUACAAAUAAAACACAAUUAAAAAGCCUCUGGCAUGGCUGAUUUCAAUUGCUAAAUUAACAUCUCUGUUCUCAUUUCUGCAACACUUCUCUACUACUGAGUUUGUGGUUUCUUGCCUUCCACAUGAUGCAACCAGCUUCCGACCCUGAGAUUCCUCCCUUCGAUAGUCUUCAUUUCUCAUGAAACUCAGUCUCCAAACAUGAAACCCACUCUCACUAAUCUAUUUUCCGUUACCAAUAUACUAACAGGUAC